GUUUGUGGUAAAAACCUUGCAGCCAUUUGCCACAGCAGAUGGAAGCGACUAAGACUGUCGACCCCGGGUAAGGUGUUCCAGCCCAACAUGUCCUAGUGGGAGGAGACUACGGCUUAGACACACUGGCAGGCUCAAUGUUUCCCUGGAUGUGGCGAGAGGAAGGUCUGGGCUUUCCUGCUUCUGCCCCUGUGACCCGACUUGAGAUAAGCUGAAUUAUUAUUAUUAUAACGAUUAUUAUUAUUUUCUUAUUUUAGGUCUUAACUUUGAAGUUGUUGUCAAGAAUUUUCAAACAGCAUGCAUCAUUCAUAAUCCACAUUCCCAAUGCGCCACACUUUUCAGUCACAGUUAAUUAUUUUUUUGGAUGUAAAUUUGGUAUUUUUUAAUAACAUGUUUUAUACUAUAUUUAACAUUGAUUUUAUGUUUUUCUUCUGUUUGGAGUAUAAUGUGUAAUGUUGAUAACGCACAGUGCAAGGCACUGCACAGUGGUGUGAUUCAUUACUGAAGAAUGUGAUAAAUGCUUUCAAACGCC